rnacentral:rRNA from 1 species
UGAUUUACAUUUGAGUGAGUGGCGAACUGGUGAGUAACACGUGGGAAACCUGCCCAGAAGCGGGGGAUAACACCUGGAAACAGAUGCUAAUACCGCAUAACAACUUGGACCGCAUGGUCCAGUUGAAAGAUGGCUUCGGCUAUCACUUUUGGAUGGUCCCGCGGCGUAUUAGCUAGAUGGUGGGUAACGGCUCACCAUGGCAAUGAUACUAGCCGACCUGAGAGGGUAAUCGGACAUUGGGACUGAGACACGGCCCAAACUCCUACGGGAGGCAGCAGUAGGGAAUCUUCCACAAUGGACGAAAGUCUGAUGGAGCAACGCCGCGU